rnacentral:rRNA from 1 species
AUUGAACGCUGGCGGCAGGCCUAACACAUGCAAGUCGAACGAGUGGCGGACGGGUGAGUAAUGUCUGGGAAACUGCCUGAUGGAGGGUGAUAACUACUGGAAACGUUAGCUAAUACCGCAUACCAUCAGAUGUGCCCAUAUGGGAUUAGUGUGUGGGUGGGGUAACGGCUCACCAAGGCGACGAUCCCUAGCUGGUCUGAGAGGCUGACCGGCCACACUGUAACUGAGACACGGUCCAGACUCCUACGGGAGGCAGCAGUAGGGAAUAUUGGACAAGGGGCGCAAGCCUGAUGCAGCCAUGCCGCGUGUAUGAAGAAGGCCUUCGGGUUGUAAAGUACUGUCGGCGGGGAGGCGUUACCCGCAGAAGAAGCACCGGCUAACUCCGUGCCAGCAGCCGCGGUAAUAC